CCGCAAGCCUGUUCCCUGCUCGCCGCAACCCCGGAGGCCUGGCUCAGAUUAUAGUUCGCAUCACCCACGUCAGCAGUCUAACACGUGCUUUUUUUUGGAAUGUCAUCACUGCAGGCCCCCCGCGACCCACCCGGCUCCAGGGCCGACCCACCAGGGCCCCGCACAGACAACACUCACCCAGCCAGCCUCACAGCUCCGGAAAGACCGAGUCAGGGCCUCCGGCUUCUACUUAAAGGAGGUCGCCGGCUUGUAAUGAGCGCGUCUCUGUGCAGUACACCAAAGGAAAGUUUACGAACAGGACGCAACCUAGUCACUUCUUUGAGAUGUUCUGUGCCAAGAGGUUGGCUAGGAGCCCAGCAUAUAAAGGUGACAAUCUAACCUUGUUCCUGAAUUGAAAGUAACCUGUUUGGGUAAAAAGAGCCUGUCUUUGAAAGUAGAGUACGUGCAACCAGAUCCUGACUUUGUGGCGAAUUUGUUGUAUGAAAAUAGGAAUUUGAGGAAAUUCCUCAAUUUGAGGAAAAUAGGAAUAUCCCAAAAAGGUGUUGUGAAGAUCAAAUGAAAUAAUGUCAGUUGCCUGGCACAUUCUGAGUGGUGAAUAAUUGCUUUUAAAGGACUGCUGUGAUGUGGAAAACUUAGGUGAGUGCAGUGCUUUGAUAAAUGCUAAAAUAGAGCUAUGAACGAGCUAUGAACUGUGGAAGCCCCAAGGAGAGAAUGCCUAACUUUGCGAAAGUUAAAAGUACUUCUAAGUACCGAACUCUUACUGUACGCCAGGCACACUCUUCACUACGUUUGACCCUUGAACAAGGAAGGGGGUGAGGGAGGUGUUGGGGACCCCACCACCCACUGGUGGAAAAUUUCUGGCUCAAUUUUGACUCCUCCAAAGCUAAACUACUAAUAGCCUACUGUUGACCAGAGCCUUAUGGAGAACAUAAACAGUCAAUGAACACAUACUUUGUGUAUUAUAUAUAUUAUAUGCUGUAUUUUCACAAUGAAGCAAGCUAGAGAAAAGAAAAUGUUAUUAAGAAAAUCAUAAAGGAUGGGUGCCUGGGUGGCUCAGCAGGUUAAGCACCCGACUCUUGAUUUCACCUCAGGUCAUGAUGUCCGGGCUGUGAGAUCUGCCCCGGUGAGGCUCUCGCUCGGCGUGGAUCCUGCUUGUCAUUCUCUCUUCUCCCUCUGCCACUCCCCCUGCCCCUGCGCGCUCUCUCCCUCUGCCUCUUUCUCUCUUUAAAAAAAAAAUAAUAAUAAUAAUAAAGGAAGAGAAAAUAUAUUUGCAGUGCUGUAUGGUAUUUGUUGAAAAAAAAGUAGACCCAUGCAGCUCAAAUCCAUGUUGGUGAAUUGUAAUGGGGACUAACAUGGCACGGCCCUAUAAGAGCCUGAUUUACCAGGAGAGAGAACAGCAACCAGUCACAAUAUUGGGUUUUCUUUAUCUCCUCAGUGUUCUCUUUGGGAAAUCUUCUGUUUUUUUCCUCCUAAUUUAAUAAGGAAAGUGUAGUAAGAAAAGCAUUUCAACCUGAGCUUGUAGUUUAAUAGUGCUCUUAUUUUCAUUAUUUUCUACACAGUCUUUAGUUAAGUUUAAAAAUACCCCUAUGACUGAAAGUAAUGGUUAUUUUGACAUGUUUUGUGACCUCUAUGCAGUUAUUUUUAUUGCGGCUUAAAUCUUUUAUUAUUUUUUACAUUUAUUACAUUGUGGUACAGAUUCUACGUUAAGAAAUGAAUACAGGUUUUCUUUGUGGCCUAGAAUAUGAUCUGUUUUUGCAGAUGUUCUGAAGAUUCUCAGGGCACCUGGGUGGCUCAGUCAGUUAAGCAACCAGCUCUUGGUUUCAGCUCAGGUCAUGAUCAUGAGAUCCAGCCCCAAGUGGGUUCUGUGCUCAGCAGUCUGUGCUCAGCUGGAAGUCUGCUUGAGAUUCUCUCUCCCCCUUUCCCUCUCCCUUCCCCUCUACCUCUCCCUCCCACUAUGUCUCCUCUAUAACCACCCCCCCACACACAUGCGCACUCUCUCUCUCAAAGAAUAUCUUACAAAAAUAAAUGUUCCAUGGAUUCUUGCAACGAAGAUGCUUUCACUAUCGUGUAUAAAUAUUGACAUGAAAUAUUUAUGAAUUCAGCCUAAAUUGUGUUGUAAUCAUAUUGUCCAAACGUCUAUCUAUUUUAUACUUAAUUGGGAGUGUAUGUACUGUUACUGACUGUGAUGUGUUAAGGUUAUGUUUCAAGUACGAAAUGCUGGGGAGGAUGCAAAGCGACAAGAACUUUGCUCCAUUACUAUUUGGGAAUACAAAACAGUAUAUACAUUUUGGAAAAGAUUUUGGACAGUUUCUUAUAAAGUUAACUUACCCAAGAGAAAUGAAAUUUUAUGUUCACACAAAAUCUGGUACACAAAUGUUUAUAACAUUAUUCAUAAUGCCUCCAAGGUGGAACUACCCAGAAGCCCUUCAUUGGGUGAAUCUUAAGCAAUGGUUGUACAUCCAUACAAUUGAAUGCUACUCGGCAAUAAAAUAGGAUGAACUAUUGAUACAUGCAACACUUGGAAGAAUCUCAGAGGCAUUAUGCUGAGUGAAAGAAACUAGACUCAAAAGAUGGUAUUAUUCCAUUUAUAUGAUAUUCUAGAAAAGAGAAAACUAUAGGAACUGAAAACAGAUGAAAGAUUUUCCAGGAAUUGGAGGUGCAGGAACGUUUGACUACAAAGGUGCAGCAUGAUUGCAUUUUUGAGGAUGAUAGAACUGUUCUGUAUCUGGAUCGUGGUGGUUACAUGACUUUUUGUAUUCGUCAAAAUUCAUAGAACUAUACCCCCACACGGUUUCAUUUUACCAUAUGACAUUUAAAAAUAAAAAAUUACGCCUCGUUUUCCCUGAUUAUUUCUGUUGUUACUUGCUUUGUAUAUUUUGAGGCUAUGCUAUUUAUCUCAUUACGCUUUGUGGCUGAUAAUAUUGCAUCAUGGAUUACAUGUAUUUAUGUAUAAAAUAACACUCAUGUUUUUUGCCUUGAGUUCUAAUUUGUCUUACAUGAGCAUUGCUACUUGUGUCUUUCUUUUUUUGUGUGUUUGCUGGUAUAACUGUGCCCAUUGCUUUAUUUUUAACCUUUCUAUGUUAUUUUGUCUUUAGCGUGUCCUUUGUAGGAGGCACAUGUUUGGCUUAUUGUGUUUAGCCCAACAUGACAAUACUUCCCUUUUAAAGUUUUUAGUGUGAAAUGUCUGUGCAUACAAAAGAGUACAUAUAAAGUAUAUGUGUGGUUUGGAAAUUACUAAUAAAUUGAACAUUGACAUGCUCACCACUUUUAGAAAAAUGGCAUCAUCGAUAACUUUAAAGCUCACUUUUUGCCCCUUCUGAUUUCAUUUCCCUCCCACAUUCUCAGAGGAAACCACCAUCCUGCGUUUGGAGUUUGACUUGUUUCGCUUUUUUUUUUUUUUUUUUUUUUUUUUUUUUUUUUUNCAUGUAUUUAUAUGUUAUUUAGUUUUGCUUGACUUUGAGCUUUAUAGAAGUAGAAUAUAUGUAUGUAUCUUCUAUGACUUACUCUUUUUAUUGCAUAAUAUUGGUGACAUUCAUGUUGUAUGUUUGCAGCCAGUAAUUGUAGUAAUGCAACCAGUUCACUUCUGUGUAGCAUCCCAGUACACAAUUUCAUCACUCUUUACACAUCUGUUCUCUUUAUUGUGGAUGUUUACAAUAGCUACAGUUUUCAUUAUUGCAAACCAGGCUGCUCCGAAUAUUCUUGUGUGUGUGCGCAGAAAAGUUCCUUUGGGGUAUGUAGAUAGAAGCACAAUUGCUGCGUGGUAGGGUAGGUACAUUUCCAACUUUCUAUAUAAUAGGGAAUAACUUUCCAAAGUGGAUGCUCUACUUUGCACUCCCGCAUUGGCCUAUACCAUCACCAGUGCUUGAUAUUGUCAGACUUUUCAUAGAUGAGCAUAAAAGGGUAUCUCAGUGUAGUUAAAUUUUUUAAAGCAUUUAAAAUGUAUAUUCUUAUACGACCAUUGACCAAUCAGCUGACAAUCAGGUUUUUUCUUCCGCAGUUGCUCUUUUAAAAUCCAACUUCAUAGGGGCGCCUGGGUGUCUCAGUUGUUAAGUGUCUGCCUUCGGCUCAGGUCAUGAUCCCAGGGUCCUGGGAUCGAGCCCUGCAUCCGAGCAUCUUGGGCUCCCUGCUCAACGGGAAGCCUGCUUCUCCCUCUCCCACUCCCCCUGCUUGUGUUCCCUCUCUCGCUGUUCCUUUCUCUGUUAAAUAAAUAAAAUCUUUAAAAAAUAAAAUAAAUUCCAACUUUAUAAAAAAUAAAAUAAAAUUCAACUUUACACACAAUAAAGGGCACCCAUAAGUGUCCAUUUCCCCGGUUUUUUGUUCGUUCGUUUGUUUUUACAAAUAGGUACGUUUGUGUCACCUCCCCCACAAUCAAGACGCAGAAAAUUCUCAUCUCUCCGAAAUGCUUCUCUCUUGCCUCUUUGUAGUCAGUGCCCGCCCCCUUCAAUCACCAACUCAGGUAACCACUGAUCCGUGUUCUGUUAUUACAGAAUGGUUUUGCCUGUUUUAGAUUUUCUUGUAAAUGGAUUCAUGCGGCUUGUACUCUCUUGUGUCUGGCUUUUGUCACUUAAACUAAUGUUUUUGAGAUUCGUCCAUAUUGUAUCAGUAAUCCAUGCCUUUUUGUUGCUGAGUAGGAUUUCAUUAUAUGAAUAUGCCACAGUUUGUUUUUCCAUCCACGUGUUUACAGAAUUUGGGUUGUUUCCAGUCUGGGGGUAUGAUGAAUAAAGCUGUUAUGAACAUCGGUGUAGAAGUCUUUUUAUGGACAUUUGUUUGCAUUCCUUCUAGGAAUGGAAUUACUAGAUCAUGUGAUAAGCAUAUAUCUUUAACCUUAUAAGAAACUGCCAAUCUAUUUUCCAAAGUGAUUAUUUUUACACUCCCACCAGCCACGUAUGAGAGUUCUGGUUAUUUCAAAUCCUAGUCAGCACUUGGUAUUGUCACUCGUUCUAAUGGGAUAGCUCAUGGUGCUAAUUUACAUUUUUCUGAUGACCAAAGAUGUUGAUGCUCUUUUCAUAUGACCAUUACUAUAUCUCUUUUUGUAAAGUGUUCAGAUCUUUC
rnacentral:lncRNA from 1 species